rnacentral:rRNA from 1 species
UGUUGGUGAGGUAACGGCUCACCAAGGCGACGACGGGUAGCCGGCCUGAGAGGGUGACCGGCCACACUGGGACUGAGACACGGCCCAGACUCCUACGGGAGGCAGCAGUGGGGAAUAUUGCACAAUGGGCGCAAGCCUGAUGCAGCAACGCCGCGUGAGGGACGACGGCCUUCGGGUUGUAAACCUCUUUUAGUAGGGAAGAAGCGAAAGUGACGGUACCUGCAGAAAAAGCACCGGCUAACUACGUGCCAGCAGCCGCGGUAAUACGUAGGGUGCAAGCGUUGUCCGGAAUUAUUGGGCGUAAAGAGCUCGUAGGCGGUCUGUCGCGUCUGCUGUGAAAACCCGAGGCUCAACCUCGGGCCUGCAGUGGGUACGGGCAGACUAGAGUGCGGUAGGGGAGAUUGGAAUUCCUGGUGUAGCGGUGGAAUGCGCAGAUAUCAGGAGGAACACCGAUGGCGAAGGCAGAUCUCUGGGCCGUAACUGACGCUGAGGAGCGAAAGCGUGGGGAGCGAACAGGAUUAGAUACCCUGGUAGUCCACGCCGUAAACGUUGGGCGCUAGAUGUGGGGACCAUUCCACGGUUUCCGUGUCGCAGCUAACGCAUUAAGCGCCCCGCCUGGGGAGUACGGAAUCUCUAGAGGAUCC